CACUGGGUCUUACCCGAGCCGUGAGGAACCGGUUGCCUGUAGUGGGCACGGUUUGGUGCACAACAAACGUUGAGCCGCAAGGGAUUUUGCGGUGAUGGGACUGCCAGACACACUAUUGGGCUUUGAGACAACAGGCCCGUGCCCCUUUUUUGGGGGGUGGCAUCCGGUUGCGGGUGUCGGCGUGUUGUUGCCUCACUUUGGUGGUGGGGUGUGGUGUUUGAUUUGUGGAUAGUGGUUGCGAGCAUCUA
rnacentral:misc_RNA from 1 species